UACGUAGGGUGCGAGCGUUGUCCGGAAUCAUUGGGCGUAAAGCGCGUGUAGGCGGCUCGGUAAGUCCGCUCUGAAAGUCCAGGGCUCAACCCUGGGAUGCGGGUGGAUACUGCCGGGCUCGAGUCCGGAAGAGGCGAGUGGAAUUCCCGGUGUAGCGGUGAAAUGCGCAGAUAUCGGGAGGAACACCAAUGGCGAAGGCAGCUCGCUGGGACGUGACUGACGCUGAGACGCGAAAGCGUCGGGGAGCGAACGAGGA
rnacentral:rRNA from 1 species